ACAAAGGUGGUUUUUUGUACUUUUAUUGUUGCAUCUAAACCAUGGAAAUUUGAACUCACCAUGCUGAAGAAACAAUGCAAAGAUAUGUAGUUAUCUUCUAGUGUGUUCUGCCACACUCAUUUCCAUUUUAAAGAAGAAGCAAAGACACUUGCAAGAACUAGAACAACACAGUUAACCCAUUAACUUCAUUUGUUUGGCCUUUUUGCAUUUUUGUGUGUUCUUCAUGGGCUGAUGUUGAAAAUCCAUGAUGUGUUUUGACAGCAUUGCAUAGCCUAUUCUUGCUGGAUACUUCCCCUACUAGCUGGGAUAAUCUGCUGCAAUAAAUGGAAGUGGUUUCUAC
rnacentral:lncRNA from 1 species